rnacentral:misc_RNA from 1 species
GACCUAAAAAUAUCGUUCGCCCUUUUUCGUCGAUCUAUUUAUUCGGCUCUUCGAUUUGUUCAGUUUUCUAAUUUUCCUCGUCGCAGAGUCGAGUUGCGACGGAACGCCCUGUAUACAACGCACUGCGGUAUUACCUUCAUCGUGACACCUGGUAAAUGGUUAAUUCAUUUAAAGCUUGGCAAAUGAGGCUUGCCAAGGUAUAAAAUUGGAGUUCCACAGUGCUACCUGGAAGGAGGGUACAUUGGUUCGGUACGGUGCGACGCGACAUCGCCUGACGUCCGUUUCCGUAAAAGCCAUGAAUUCCAAUCGUACGACCGUCGAUUCGUCGAAUUCCUUGCGCAAUGUUCGGUUCUUUUCGCGACCCUCGGCGUAACAACCAAACCGGCGACAACCCGAUAUCAAUCAAACCAUCCGCGAAAAUUCAAGGGUGCGGACAAUUUUCCGUGUUACGCGUCGUGUUCGUUUGUCGUUUGUUGUGUUUUUCUUGUGUCGGGAAUCGGUAAUUUCGGGAUUGUAUUCCAGUGAUUUCCCUCGAACGUCGCGAUAGCCUGCCGCACCGAUUCGGAACGAUAUAAUAUAC